rnacentral:snRNA from 1 species
AAAGAGGGCUUCUGCCGUGACCAGCACACGUAGGGCAGCGCCCUUGCUCUACAUACAGAAUCAACAUCAAGAGAUUUUGGAAACCAUAAUUUCUCAGCAGCAGGGCAGCUGGUGAUUGUUGGUCCUGGUUCACCU